rnacentral:rRNA from 1 species
AACGAACGCUGGCGGCAUGCCUAACACAUGCAAGUCGAACGAGACCUUCGGGUCUAGUGGCGCACGGGUGCGUAACGCGUGGGAACCUGCCCUUAGGUUCGGAAUAACUCCCCGAAAGGGGUGCUAAUACCGGAUAAUGUCUUCGGACCAAAGAUUUAUCGCCUUUGGAUGGGCCCGCGUUGGAUUAGCUAGUUGGUAGGGUAAAAGCCUACCAAGGCGACGAUCCAUAGCUGGUCUGAGAGGAUGAUCAGCCACACUGGGACUGAGACACGGCCCAGACUCCUACGGGAGGAAGCAGUGGGGAAUAGUGGACAAUGGGCGAAAGCCUGAUCCAGCAAUGCCGCGUGAGUGAUGAAGGCCUUAGGGUUGUAAAGCUCUUUUACCCGGGAUGAUAAUGACAGUACCGGGAGAAUAAGCUCCGGCUAACUCCGUG